rnacentral:rRNA from 1 species
GAUGAACGCUGGCGGCGUGCCUAAUACAUGCAAGUCGAGCGAACAGACGAGGAGCUUGCUCCUCUGACGUUAGCGGCGGACGGGUGAGUAACACGUGGAUAACCUACCUAUAAGACUGGGAUAACUUCGGGAAACCGGAGCUAAUACCGGAUAAUAUAUUGAACCGCAUGGUUCAAUAGUGAAAGACGGUUUUGCUGUCACUUAUAGAUGGAUCCGCGCCGCAUUAGCUAGUUGGUAAGGUAACGGCUUACCAAGGCAACGAUGCGUAGCCGACCUGAGAGGGUGAUCGGCCACACUGGAACUGAGACACGGUCCAGACUCCUACGGGAGGCAGCAGUAGGGAAUCUUCCGCAAUGGGCGAAAGCUUGACGGAGCAACGCCGCGUGAGUGAUGAAGGUCUGCGGAUCGUAAAACUCUGUUAUUAGGGAAGAACAAAUGUGUAAGUAACUAUGCACGUCUGGACGGUACCUAAUCAGAAAGCCACGGCUAACUACGU